rnacentral:rRNA from 1 species
GGCUUUAAAUGAGUGCUAAGAGAAUGGUGUAACAAUUCUAAGCUUUCUUUAAUUAAACAAUUGAAUUUAAUUUUUUUGUGAAGAAGCAAGGAUUAAAAUUAGGGACAAGAAGACCCUAUGAAUUUUGUAUUAAAUUAUAUUAAAAUUACAUAAUUUUAAAUAUUUAAAUUAUUUGGGGUGAUUAGAAAAGAAUGUUUAUCUUUUUUUUUAAAAUUAAUUUGUUCCGCUUUUAACGAUUUUAUGAAAAAAAUACUCUAGGGAUAACAGCGUAAUAAUUUUGGAUAGUUCUUAUAGAUAAAAUAGUUUGCGACCUCGAUGUUGGAUUAGGAUUCUUUUUUAGUGAAGAAAUUAAAAGGAAGAAGUUUGUUCAACUUUUAAAUUCCUACUUGAUCU